rnacentral:rRNA from 1 species
CGAGACUCAGUGAAAUUGAAAUCGCUGUGAAGAUGCAGUGUACCCGCGGCUAGACGGAAAGACCCCGUGAACCUUUACUACAGCUUGGCACUGAACAUUGACCCUACAUGUGUAGGAUAGGUGGGAGGCUUUGAAGCACGUACGCCAGUAUGUGUGGAGCCGUCCUUGAAAUACCACCCUUGUAGUGUUGAUGUUCUAACGUCGACCCCUUAUCGGGGUUGCGGACAGUGCCUGGUGGGUAGUUUGACUGGGGCGGUCUCCUCCCAAAGAGUAACGGAGGAGCACGAAGGU